rnacentral:rRNA from 1 species
UACAGAGGGUGCGAGCGUUAAUCGGAAUUACUGGGCGUAAAGCGCUCGUAGGCGGCUUGGUAUGUCGGGUGUGAAAUCCCCGGGCUUAACUCGGAAAGGUCAACUGAUACUGUGCGGCUAGAGUGCAGAAGGGGCAACUGGAAUUCUCGGUGUAGCGGUGAAAUGCGUAGAUAUCGAGAGGAACACCUGCGGCGAAGGCGGGUUGCUGGGCUGACACUGACGCUGAUGCGCGAAAGCCAGGGGAGCGAACGGG